rnacentral:lncRNA from 1 species
AAAUGACAAAUAUGAAUAUCUUACAAAAAUGCAAGCAACAAAUUACCAAUACUCAAACAAAACCUCACUUCAGUGAAAUUCAAAUUUGGAGAAGGUUAGAGAAAAAGGACUUGAUGGGUUGGAUACAUGUAAUUGAUGCAGACGGGGCAUUCACUACAGGAAACAGACAUGGUUAGUUGGAAGAGGCAAUCUGCAAACACUAAUUACCAGUAAAUAUUCACAGAUAGAAAGCCUUUAGAUCUGUAUGUGUUCUUCGAAACAUCGUCAAAUUUUUAUCUAACGUGCCGCAUGGUCUGGGUCUGCAUCUCCAUAGCGAGUCUUUCCACAAAGUCCUUGGUGUAGUCCAAAAACAACACAAUCAAAAUCAACGAAGAAUGAAACCCAAAAGUAGAAUUAGGUAAAAUAAAACGCUAGAUAAACCCUGAAAAAUCUAAAAACCAUUCCAGAGUCAGAGUGAUGAGUAUUUAUGUUCAACGGUAGAAAGGGAAUUUCACCACUUGCCUGAUUCUGAUUACUUGAUGAGGUUGCAAAGUGGGGACUUGGACCUUGCUGCUAGAUAACAGGCAGGCUGUUCAAUGAAAACUCAUGAAUAAGCUUGUCUUUGUCAACCUUUUCGUCCAUUCCCUGCAAUAGAUUUGUAUAUAUUUCAAAAUCAAAACUCAAGAUAGAGGGGAAAAGUAGACCAAAAAAUGGAUUAACAAAAACAAUUAAUUCCCAAUAAUAUGAAAUCAAACGCCAAGAACACAAAAGAGAAGAGGUAAACAAAAUAAAAAACUGAAUAUCUGGUAGACUGAGAUGAGUCAAUAUUUGUGUCAUGGAGAAAGAUAUAACCCAAACGUAACUGCUCAUAGCAGUUUCAAAAAAUGACACCACGUUCAUCCUCUCCCUUGUGAACGGUUUUGCCAUUUUAGUUUGGAUUAUCUCAUUUUUCUAUUUGUUUUAAUUUGUUUUUGUUGCCAUUAUCUUUUAUCUAUCUCUCCUCUCCAUAACUGCUAACCUUUUAGAGGAUAAUUAUCAUGAUUUAAAAAAAAAAUUAAUUAUCAUGUUUUGUUUCAAUACGGUUACUGUUAAGUUCUUUUUUACGUUUUUGUCCCAUUUUUCUUUACUUUUUUUCUUUUUCUUUUUUUUAUAUUUUGUUUUUCAAUACUUUUUGAGUGCUACUAGACCCACCCCAGUGUCUUACACCCACAUGAUAAUCUCACCCACCAUAUAAAAUUAAAAAAGUAAAAUGCUAUUUCCCCACCCAUCAUUAUUCCCAAAAUAACCAUAAUAUUUUUUUAAAUAACUCUAAUAUAUCUUUAAAUAAUAUUAUAAAUAAAUAAAUAAAAAUAGAAAAAAAAAUGAAAGAAAAUGCAAGACCUAAGACCUAGACAUUCAUCAUCUCCUUCACACCUAAUGCCACUCUGCAGAGACCUCAGAUCCCCAAACCACUCUUCUUCCUCCUUUUUUGUCAAAACCGAAGAUCUCACAACCAAUUCUCUUUUUCCUCCAUUGAAGUUUCUCGCCUUCAUCUAGCACACGUCCAUUCCUUCCUCCAACCUUUCCGUCAAUUCUAACCCAAAUCUUUCCUAACCUCUUUCCACCAAAGUAUCACACCCAAACCACCAUUAUUUAUUUAUUAUUUUAAAUUAUUUGUUUUUUCAAAAUUUUAGUACUGAAUUAAAUAGGGGUUUAAGAGUCUUCUUUUAAAAUGAUAAAUAUGUUAUUAACAUUUUCAUUAAAUGGUGGGUGGGGAAAUAAGACAUCGGGGUGGGAAUAUCACCACUCUACUUUUUUUUGUUAAGAUAUGAUUUUUUACCAAUUUGUCCUUUUUUUUUUUUGAAUUUUUUGAGUUUUGAUUGUGAAGGAAACAAAUGGGCAUUUUUGACAUUUUGGAAAGCUUCACCAAACUAGGGCUCUCACUUUAUAUAUAUAGAUUAUUAUUGAAAAAUCGACAUUUAACCCAUUGAAAGUUAAAUUCUAUCUCAAUUUGUCUUCUUUUCGUCUUCUUCAUCUGCCAUCCCAGUAAGUUAGAUCAUGCGACUUCCAAGAAUUAAAUGACAAAUUUUUUGUUUCGAAUGACAACUUGAGACUCAAGUGUUGUUUUCGAGGUAAAUGAAUAAUCAAAGGCAAGUCAUAAACCAUACCCCAAGAAAGAAGAAAAAACAAACAAAUACCAUUGAUUUAAAAGAAAACUAAUGAGCCAUUGAUUUAAAAGAAAACUAAUGAAAAUAGUUUCAAACUUCGAAUAUUUAACCGAAAGAAUCCUAGUAACUUUAUUUAAUGGUGUAGACAAAAUUCAACAUUAAACAGCCAUGGAGUUUUAAUAAAAGAGUAAUGAUAUUCAUACCAUCUUUUUAUACCAGAUUUCUAUACGACCUUAGGUGGCAUCAUAUGGACAACCACAUUAUUUGAAAAUUUUGCAAAACCCAAGGAAAGGAAGGAGAAAGACUUCUCGUAUACCACAAUCAUCAUUUAAUUAACUAGUUUUUCUUAAUUAUUAGUUUAUUAAAUAAUGAACUAAAUUUAAAAAUCUAAUUAAUUCAAAUGAUGUGGCUGUCCACAUCAAAUGUCACCUAAGGUGGUAUGAAAAUGUGGUACGAAAAUAUGAUAUGAAUAGCAUUAUUGUUAAUAAAAAGGACUUCUCUAAACUUUUUCUUAAACAAAAACAACCUAGUGACUUUAUUUAAUAAAAAAGAUUUGAAUUUUACUAAAAAAAAAAACCAAAAGCUUAAUAUAAUAAUUAAAAAACCUAAAAAUAUUUUUUCUCCUUAUAAUCUCUCUUCUCUCCUCUGCCACUUCCUCUCUUUCCUUUAUGCAAAGGGAACUCAUGUUUUUCAAAAAAUAAAGAGGAUUAAGUGUGGAGCCCACUCCACAUCAAACUUCAACAAUCCAAACAAUCUACUUUGUAAUUCUUGAUUCAUAGAUCAUGUUUACAAAAAUUUAAUUCAAUCCGAAAUCAUUUGCCUAUUUAAUUAUAAAGAUAAAAUAUCAUUAUUUCUUAUAUAACAAAGUAUUCGUUAAUUUUUUUAAACCCAAUUAGAUGUCUUAAAUAUUUUUGAUUUGGCUAAUAUUUUGCAAAGAUGAUCUAUGAGGUGUAACUUGAAGAAUAGAUGCUUGGAUCGUUAAAGUUCAAUGUGGUGUGCACCCUACAACUAAUUCCCAUUUAAAAAAAAAGGGUAUCCCUUCCCUUAGAGGCUUCCUCUC